UAUAUAUAUAUAUAUAUAUAUAUAUACAUACUCUCUGUCUCACACACACACACACACACACACAAAGUGCAUG